CUAUGUCAGCACAGCAAGGAUACUGGAGCAGGAUUUCCUGAGAAGGAGCUGUUUAAGCUGGAUCAUUACUUGAGUUCCAUAUUACUAAACAAGGAAGUCAUGAAGUCCAAGCAAUAAUGGAGGAACGCUGGCACCCCCAGAGGGAAAGGACAACAUCCUACAGCAGAGACCUGCAAACAGGGCUUGGAAUGCUACUCUGAUCCAUCUCCUUCAUGAUAAUUCUAUCUCUCUGGAUCUUGCUUUCUUUAUUGUUUCUGCCUUUGGUGGACCCUAAAAUUUACACGAUGAGACAAAGCCCAACAGCAAGAAGGCGCAAGUUCCCUGCAGGAAGCACAUCCCAUGCCUGCCUGCUCAUCCCCUGGGGCUUUCAUUGGGAUGCAGACUCUCCUGCUGCAAAUGGGAGCCUUGGCCUGACCCAGACUUCCGGGACUAAUGGACCAGCUGAACAAACCAAGAUUCAGUGUCAGGCAGCCCAUUUGCCUAAAGGUGUAAGCUAUAUUCUCUAAUAACAGCUUCCUGUGAAUCUCA